ensembl:misc_RNA 7SK 7SK RNA
GGCUGAUCUGGCUACGACACAUCUGUCACCACACUGACUCAGCUGAUCUUGCUGGAUAAGCAGAUGUCCCCUUCCUCCUCUUUUCCAUGCCUAGUGCAUUCCUCCGAGAGCUGCAUGCUCUGUUGAAGAGGACACCCUUCCCCAAUAGAGGAGGACUGCUCUUUGGUCAAGGAUAUGUGAGUAGCUGCACUCCCCUGCUAGAACCUCCAAAAGAGCUCUUAGGAAUAAAUGGUAUUUUUAAUUCCUAGGAUAGUUGGGAUAAAGUAUAGAUACUAAGGGAAUAAACAGGUAAUAUUUGCUAAAUAUUCUAUGUGUAUUU